UAGGGAAUCUUCGGCAAUGGGGGGAACCCUGACCGAGCAACGCCGCGUGAGUGUAGAAGGUUUUCGGAUCGUAAAGCUCUGUUGUUAAGGAAGAACGAGUGUGAGAAUGGAAAGUUCAUGCUGUGACGGUACUUAACCAGAAAGGGACGGCUAACUACGUGCCAGCAGCCGCGGUAAUACGUAGGUCCCGAGCGUUGUCCGGAAUUAUUGGGCGUAAAGCGCGCGCAGGCGGUCACUUAAGUCCAUCGUAGAAGUGCGGGGCUUAACCCCGUGAUGGGAUGGAAACUGGGAGACUGGAGUAUCGGAGAGGAAAGUGGAAUUCCUAGUGUAGCGGUGAAAUGCGUAGAUAUUAGGAAGAACACCGGUGGCGAAGGCGACUUUCUGGACGAAAACUGACGCUGAGGCGCGAAAGCGUGGGGAGCAAACAGG
rnacentral:rRNA from 1 species